AUUGAACGCUGGCGGCAUGCCUUACACAUGCAAGUCGAACGGCAGCAUGGAGAGCUUGCUCUCUGAUGGCGAGUGGCGAACGGGUGAGUAAUGCAUCGGAACGUACCGUGUAAUGGGGGAUAACGUAGCGAAAGUUACGCUAAUACCGCAUACGACCUGAGGGUGAAAGCAGGGGAUCGCAAGACCUUGCGUUAUACGAGCGGCCGAUGUCAGAUUAGCUAGUUGGUGAGGUAAAGGCUCACCACGGCGACGAUCUGUAGCGGGUCUGAGAGGAUGAUCCGCCACGCUGGGACUGAGACACGGCCCAGGCUCCUACGGGAGGCAGCAGUGGGGAAUUUUGGACAAUGGGGGCAACCCUGAUCCAGCCAUGCCGCGUGAGUGAAGAAGGCCUUCGGGUUGUAAAGCUCUUUCGGCCGGGAAGAAAUCGCACAGGCUAAUACUCUGUGUGGAUGACGGUACCGGCAUAAGAAGCACCGGCUAACUACGUGCCAGCCGCCGCGGUAA
rnacentral:rRNA from 1 species